UACGUAGGGGGCAAGCGUUGUCCGGAAUCAUUGGGCGUAAAGCGCGCGUAGGCGGCCCCGGUAAGUCCGCUCUGAAAGUCCAGGGCUCAACCCUGGAAAGCGGGUGGAUACUGCCGGGCUAGAAUCCGGAAGAGGCGAGUGGAAUUCCUGGUGUAGCGGUGGAAUGCGCAGAUAUCAGGAGGAACACCAAAUAGCGAAGGCAGCUCGCUGGGACGGUAUUGACGCUAAGGCGCGAAAAGCGUGGGGAGCAAACAGG
rnacentral:rRNA from 1 species